GAACAGUUAAGCCAACCUUGGUGUGAGCCAUGUGACGGAAAGCCACGGAUCUUUUUUAAAGAUGGCCGGGUUGCAUAG
rnacentral:ncRNA from 1 species